UACGGAGGGAGCUAGCGUUGUUCGGAAUUACUGGGCGUAAAGCGCGCGUAGGCGGCGAUACAAGUCAGGGGUGAAAUCCCACAGCCCAACUGUGGAAUUGCCUUUGAAACUGUAUUGCUUGAGUGUCGGAGGGGAUAGCGGAAUUGCUAAUGUAGAGGUGAAAUUCGUAGAUAUUAGCAGGAACACCGGUGGCGAAGGCGGCUAUCUGGACGACAACUGACGCUGAGGCGCGAAAGCGUGGGGAUCAAACAGG
rnacentral:rRNA from 1 species